rnacentral:piRNA from 1 species
UGUGAACUACGUGACCGCGAAGGAUGC